rnacentral:rRNA from 1 species
GCUCCAAUAGCGUAUAUUAAAGUUGUUGCGGUAAAAAAGCUCGUAGUUGGAUUUCUGUUGAGGACGACCGGUCCGUACCAUGUACGCGCAUCUGGCUCGGCCUUGGCAUCCUUCCGUUAGACGUUUCUGCGCUUGAUUGCGUGGAGCGGAUUCCGGAACUUUUACUUUGAGGAAAUUAGAGUGUUCACGGCAGCUAUCGC